rnacentral:misc_RNA from 1 species
AAGAGAGUCUCGGCUGUUCUGGAAGAAAAUAUGGCACAUGACUUUUCCCCCUGAAGUAUCUAUUUUUCUUUUGAGUGUUUUAAAUGAUCGCCUUCCAGUCAAUGAUCUUAUUCACCGAAGGCUGACGCAUAUUCCUUCUAAAUGUCGGUUUUGUGGAGAAAUUGACACCGAGCGACACUUAUUCUUUCAAUUCCCUCGAGUGGAUCCACUCCCCUCUUCGGCUUAGAUCAUAUUUUAUUUCUGGUGCAUCAAUGAUGGACUGCUGGAAUUCUUUCUUCAUGCCUCUUCUCGAUCAACAAAAUAGCAAAGAAUUUGCAGUGAUGGUGGUUUUCUUCUUUUGGAAUAU